rnacentral:lncRNA from 12 species
UAUGUAGCAUGACACAUAAUUAUAUAAUCUGCAAUAACAUCAUAACAAUUGCUAAUAUUAUACAUAUCUAUAAAUUAUUAGGGUUUUCCAAAGAAACGGAACCAAUUACAGGUAAACAUGUCUAUGGAGGCUGAAAAGUCCUGUGGACCAUCACAGACACACAGACACAAAAUCACACAGCCUCGAGUACAUAGGGGUGCUGGUUGCUCACAGGAAAACAUCGGGGUAGCGUUCUGAGAGCAGGUUACGUUGCAUACCACAGUGGGUUUCCCCAUCAUAAGGCUCCAGAUUCUGGGUAGACAAAUCCAGAAAGCUUGGGUGAGAGCCAGGAAUUCAUCAGCUAAAUCAAAACCAAGGGGAAGAUCACGAUUCCGUUCCUACAAGGGUUGCGAAAGUUUGCAGAUUUGGGGACGGGAGAACCAGUAUUCCGACUCUGGUGGGUGCUCACACCUUGGCAGCUGCUACAACGCACAAAGCACAUCCCUACCCAGUGGCUUGUGGAGGCCCAGCAAUGAGUAUUUUUGGCCGAUCACUAUUUUCGUUUUCAGGACCCUGGGGUUAAACUCCAAAUGUCUAUUGACUGUGGAAGCUCAUGCCACUCUUCAACUCGGAAGCCUGGUUUCAGAGCCCCGAUGUCUCGUAAACAUCCUGCGCCCACAAAUCCGUAUCAGCAUCUGCUUCUGGAGAAGCCCACCUGCGGGAGUUGGUACCUGGAGAGGUUUGAGAUACAGAGACCACAAGGUGGCUAGAAGGGGAGGAGAUAGUAGCUAUGGAGAAAUGGCCUUGCGGGGAUGUGCUGACCAGCAUGGCUCCUGCACCACGGGGAAGCGACUGAGAGGACAAACCGCCAACUGGAAGCCAAGCCUGAAAGUCAGAGAUGCCUUUGUUGGCCAGCGUCUCCACGAGAAGGCAGAGAGGCUGGGACCCAUGGCAAGCGCAGGAGUCCACUGGGCGGACCGUCAGAGAACGUCAGGUGCCCAGGGAAGGUCCACCUGUAAACGGGUCUGGAGCGCUGGUUGCCAAACUCUGGGACCCAGACCCAAGAGCCAGAGGCAUUUGGGAGCAGCCGGCGUAGGUUCUGGGCAAUUUGAGACCAGUUGUCUUCCCAUCGUGCAAGGCCGUUCGUCAGCAUCGGGAUACAUUUUCAAAGUCGUAUGAGGAAUCGGGGCCUGCUCUACACUUUGCUGGUGACUGGUUUUCCAAAGCUGCCCCAGCGUGGCCAACAGUUCCACUUUUAAGACCUAAUCGCAGGAAACAUAGCUUUGUUUUGACAUACCUGUCCCUCUAGAUGUGAUGGUGUCACCACCCCGAAUGAUCAUCCAGUCAUAUAAACACAGCCCUGGACCAAAUGACACUUUGUUGUGUAUCAGACCGAUGGAAGUUGUGGGUCAUGGACCAUGGAACUCAUGGCCUGGUCUGUGGGAUAUCCCAGAAGAUGCUGACCUUGCCCGGUGAUCCCAUUCGGGCUCCUGUUGGGCGACAUGGACACGCACGUGCCUGCCACCUGUUGUGUGCAACAGCGUGGUCUGUAGGAGGGCAAACGCGCCUGCCUCCUUCUGAGAGCCUGUAAAGCUGCGAAGGUGGCGGGUGGACACGUAUUUCUGAGGCCUCGGGAGAAAGGCUCAGCUGUGGCUAUACCAGGUGCUUCUCCCGGGACGGACCCACGUACGCUGCACACGGCAUCAAUGACGGAGGGGACAAGGGACAAGGGAAGGGGAGAGCGUCCAGGAGGCCUAUUGUCACUCUCUUCAUUAUGUGUCUUUCCGUAGACGUGAGAUGCCAUUUCCUUUACCCCAACAGAGCAAUGGGAGACGCACGGUCACUCCACCCAUCACCUUCCUAUUCCUCAUCCUGCCCUUCUCCUAGGAAGAAUGUGUCUUAAACUUUUGUUCUCCAUUGUCCAUACCGCUCGCCGUGUUAUUGAUGGCGGCUGAGGCCAUUAGGCAGAAAUGACAUCUAUCGGGGGGCUGUCACAUACAUUGGGCUGUUUUUCUGCCUCACUUGUUCUGUAAGGCACUUCUCCGUAGAUUAAUGGAUCCAGACCCUCAUUUCAAUUAUUUUUAUUAUGCCUGGCUACUGCUUUCUCCUAUUAAAAAUGAGAGUGUACAGUUCAUUUAAGGAUUCAAUAUUCCUGUUAAGCAGUAAUUCACGUCGGUUU